rnacentral:lncRNA from 1 species
GGUUAUGUGCACAUUCGAUGUAACUAGUCGUGGAGACAGGCACGAUUUUGAGAUGAGGUUGGUCUGUUAACUUCCUGUAUUUUAUUCCAAAUUCGGGUUGUAGCGGGCAUAUAUUAUUCUUUCUUUCUAAUUCAUAUGGCUGUGAUAUAUUAUUUGAUGAGGUACCACCAAAACCAAUUUAAUCAUUUGGAAAAUCAAGUUGGGAAAAAUGAUACGUACAAAGAUAUAUAGAGAUAUCUAAUUCCAGGAAAUAGAUUUGAUGAUAUUGGAG